GGCAAGAUGGCCGAGCGGUCCAAGGCGCUAGCUUCAGGUGCUAGUCUCUUCGGGGGCGUGGGUUCGAAUCCCACUCUUGUCA